rnacentral:sRNA from 1 species
AUGCGCCUCGGAGCUGGCGUCAACCAGCGAAGGCUGAACCCGCCUCCGGGAUCCUCGCCGAGCUGGGAGUUAGGAUCCGAGGGGACCAAGAGGGAUAAGAAAACUUCUCUGGGUGCCCACUUGGUACUGAGCGCCCUUGGGAGGGCUCUGGAGAAGACCAUCGCCUUCCAGGGGAAGGAAACUGAGGUCCAGAAAAGUUAUGACUCGCCCCAAGGGGAUUUCCUGGCAGGACGUGAAGGGGAAGGGGCCCACCGUGGAGUAACCCUCACUGGAGAAUCCAGAGACACGCCGCUUUUUGGAUGCCUCCUACGCCUGGCGGGAGUCUUGUCUGAGCUGGCACCACCACACGGCCCACGACAUCUUCGCAGAGAAGCCUGUGGACCCUCUGCCAGGCUCCGCAAGAGGUCAGGACAGGGCAGUGUGUUCACAAGGCCAGUUUCUGAUCGUCCGCCUUGAGGGUGAGGACCAGUAGGCAGCUUCCAAGAUGGGUGAAAGGAAAGGGGUCAACAAGUACUAUCCUCCAGACUUCAACCCUGAGAAGCAUGGCUCUCUCAACCGAUACCACAACAGCCACCCACUUCGGGAGCGGGCUCGGAAGCUGUCACAGGGCAUCCUCAUCAUCCGAUUCGAAAUGCCGUAUAACAUCUGGUGCGAUGGCUGCAAGAACCACAUCGGCAUGGGUGUUCGUUACAACGCAGAAAAGAAGAAGGUGGGCAAUUACUACACAACCCCGAUCUACAGGUUCCGGAUGAAAUGCCACCUCUGUGUCAACUACAUCGAGAUGCAGACGGACCCCGCCAACUGCGACUACGUGAUCGUGAGUGGCGCCCAGCGCAAGGAGGAGCGCUGGGACAUGGCGGACAAUGAGCAGGUGCUGACCACAGGUGAGCGCCACCCACUUACCUGCCUGGGGGCCCUGGCCCUGAGUCUGCGCUGGGGCCCCCAAAGCCCAGCCGAGCUCUGGUCGUUGCAGAGCAUGAGAAGAAGCAGAAGCU